rnacentral:rRNA from 1 species
UACAGAGGGUGCAAGCGUUAAUCGGAAUUACUGGGCGUAAAGCGAGCGUAGUCGGUUAUUUAAGUCGGAUGUGAAAUCCCUCGGCUCAACCGGGGAACUGCGUCUGAUACUGGGUGGCUUGAAUCCGGGAGAGGGAUGCGGAAUUCCAGGUGUAGCGGUGAAAUGCGUAGAUAUCUGGAGGAACACCGGUGGCGAAGGCGGCAUCCUGGACCGGCAUUGACGCUGAGGCGCGAAAGCCAGGGGAGCAAACGGG